rnacentral:rRNA from 1 species
GCAGUCGACGGUAGCACAGAGGAGCUUGCUCCUUGGGUGACGAGUGGCGGACGGGUGAGUAAUGUCUGGGAAACUGCCCGAUGGAGGGGGAUAACUACUGGAAACGGUAGCUAAUACCGCAUAACGUCGCAAGACCAAAGAGGGGGACCUUCGGGCCUCUUGCCAUCGGAUGUGCCCAGAUGGGAUUAGCUAGUAGGUGGGGUAACGGCUCACCUAGGCGACGAUCCCUAGCUGGUCUGAGAGGAUGACCAGCCACACUGGAACUGAGACACGGUCCAGACUCCUACGGGAGGCAGCAGUGGGGAAUAUUGCACAAUGGGCGCAAGCCUGAUGCAGCCAUGCCGCGUGUAUGAAGAAGGCCUUCGGGUUGUAAAGUACUUUCAGCGAGGAGGAAGGCGUUGUGGUUAAUAACCGCAGCGAUUGACGUUACUCGCAGAAGAAGCACCGGCUAACUCCGUGCCAGCAGCCGCGGUAAUACGGAGGGUGCAAGCGUUAAUCGGAAUUACUGGGCGUAAAGCGCACGCAGGCGGUCUGUCAAGUCGGAUGUGAAAUCCCCGGGCUCAACCUGGGAACUGCAUCCGAAACUGGCAGGCUAGAGUCUUGUAGAGGGGGGUAGAAUUCCAGGUGUAGCGGUGAAAUGCGUAGAGAUCUGGAGGAAUACCGGUGGCGAAGGCGGCCCCCUGGACAAAGACUGACGCUC